GAGGAUAUAGCUCAGUGGUAGAGUGCAUGCUGAGCACGCAUGAGGUCCUGGGUUCAAUCCCCAGUAUCUCCA
rnacentral:tRNA from 1 species